UAAAAGUGAGUUUAGCCACAGCUUUGACGUUAAGAAAUAUAACUAUAUCCCUAUCUAUAUAUAAUUGACAGAACUUAGAUUUAAUACAUUAAAAACUGUUAACAGUGUAAGAUUUGACAGCAGAGGCCUUGUUUCUAAUCAAGAAGUAUUUACAUUGUAUUGAACUAGCACUUAAACUGAAAGUUUAUAAAUUAUUGAGGAUUUUUUAAUGUAAGUUGUUGCAUUUGUUAUCAAGCUUAAACAUAAUUAGCAAAACUAAAAACUGAGAUGCUAUCAUUUAUGGAAAACAUUCAGCAUGGACUAUUGAGAGAAUUUAAGUCAUAUUUAAAUAAUAUUUAUGGUAAGUGGCUGAGACUGUUGGUCUAACAAAAUAUAGAAGGAUCUGAACCAGAGGACAUGUGAAGACAUCUGAAGUAAAAGUCUGUGGCCUGUAGCAGGAAUAUUAUCAUUAGCUCUAAGAUGGUAAGUCAUACUACCUAUCAUCUGAACUUUACCAUCUUAAUAGUUAUUAAUGGAGAAUACAGAACUCUCAAGGUCAGUUAAGAUUAGUGGCAGUAAUCCUGUUUGGUGUUGGAAUGUGUUUACUGGCACUUCAGAUUUGGGUUAUAUCUGUUCUUUACUUUUCCACCAUUUCCUUAAAAUCUGAUUAAGUCUACUUGUUAUGAUUUAGAGCAGGAGAAAGCACCAGCUUAACGCAGCCAUGGCUUCUAUAUAGAGUAAAUAUUUCUAGUUAUUUCUAGGGAUAAGGGAUAUGAAGGUACACUGUUAUUCAAGAUAGUAAUGUUUUAUGAAAUUAACUGAGAACACAAAUGAGCAAAUACUGAACCAUGUGUUCAUAGGGUAAAUAAAGGUUCCUCUGAACCUCUGGGUCAUGUUUUUAUCAGCCAGUCAAUAUUUAACCUUGUCUGUCUUUACUUAGAAAGACACCUUGAUUCAUUAACGUUAAACUUAGAGCCAGCACUAACUCCUGUCAUUACAUCACAGCCUUCUUGUGUUUAGGAACAUUAGGCAGCUUUUCACUAGGCUUGAAGGCCAUCUUAAACAGGAAAAUCACCAAUAAGCACAAAAAUGUGAAAAACUCAGCAUUAACUGGACCACAGAAGGGAUGUUUAUCUACAGUAUGAAAAAAUAAGGCAAGCAUAACUAUGGGCAUUGGGUGAUUUAAAAUUUUCACCACUCUGAAUGUCCAUGAAUGAGCAGCAAAGUACCUUGAGUACUGAUUUUGGGAUUACAAAUAUUAGCAAAUAGAUGAAUUUGCAAGUAAGAUUAUCUGCUAAUAAUGAGGCUCUAUUUUGUCUUUUGUUUCAGUCUUUUGGACUAAUCAAAUUUCUUUAAGAAGAGAUAUUAUCAAUUAAAAGUUAAAAUCAAAUUUUUUAAAGACAAAUAGGACCUAUGGGCUAAUAUACCCAGGGGCAAUGAAGCAUUAACCCUAAAAGAGAAAACGUCAUGUAGUGGGUAUAUUUUCAGGUGUUUAAUGCAAAUAGCAGCACACCUGUUUUAAAGCAACUAUUAAGACAAUGAAAAAUACUUCAAAAUAACAGGAACACAACAGAGCACAUUUCUGUCAUAGUAAUGUUUUAUUUCCUCUAGGCUUACCUUUAAGUAGAAGAAUCCACAGUUCAUUGUAGAUUAUGAGCCAAACCUACCAUUUUUCUUGGGGAAAAAAGUCACUUGUGUGAGGGGUCUAGAACAUACUGGGUAACUGGUUCAAGUAUGAUCUGUGUGAGAGCGCCUUCAUCUUUCAAUGUUUUUUUUUUUUUUAAAUACUUGGUGUAAUGUUAUUGACUACUUACAGUGUACUAGCGUUGUGCUAUAAGCAAACAGUUAAGUAUGUUUUACAAGUAAGGAAACAAUAUUCAGUGAAGUUAAGUAAUGCUGAUCUUUCUCAAACCUAAAGUCCACAUGUUGUUAACCUGCGCUGUGAUACGUGUCACAAACUUGGUAACCAGGGAUGUAUCCCUUGGUGGUAAUGAAAUUUGAGUCUGAGAGUUGUCAUUACACCUUUGGCAUAGGGUCUUUUUAUCAGUAGGUACUCAGACUUUUUCUUCUUCAAGGGGGAGGUAGGUAUGCACACAGCACUAACAGAUAGGAGGUGCAGGUUUCAAGUCAAACUUAGUAAUAGCCAGGCUUUGAGUAUACUACCUAUAUGCUUAGGCCUCUGCCUUCCCAUUGGUUAAUGGCCAACUUAAAAAGUGAAGGUUCCUCCACAUUUUAUGGGUAGGGAACCAAAAAGAAAAAAUUAUUUCAGAGGUUACUCUGAACUAAUGAAACUGUAAGCAAGCCCAGGGGUCUUCUCCAAUUUACUGUGUUCAUUUGUAACACGGUUCUCCCUAUAUUAGUCUUGAAUAUGUAGGUUAUAAGAAAUUCCUACCCACAGCCUUAAUGUUAGAUCUCACAAAGCAGAGAUUUAGUUCCCCUUCUUUGUCCACUCCAUUUUGCCUUCCCUGCUUCUGGGUUGACAUUACUAUAGGAGUCCUAUGCUGCUUUGUAAAAAACUGCUUUGCUGGUAAUUAAAGUGGGCUAUAAUGAGUGGUCCUGGAAGUUAAAUCUUUUCCCACUCUUAGAAUUUUAGGAAAAUUAUCUUGCCUUCAAGAUUUCCAAAUGAUGGGAAUACCUAUUGAAGGAUUAAAAAAAAAAAAGUAUAGUUAUAUAAAUCAGCAUCCCAGAAACACCCAAACCAUUUAAGAAACAACAGAAACAAUUGAGAACUUGUAUGAAAACCGGUGGAGAGCUGCCUGAGUGGCUCAGUUGUUAAACCUCUGCCUUUAGCUCAGGUCAUGAUCCCAGGGGUCCUGGGAUUGGGCCCCGUACUGGGCUCCCUGCUCAGCAGGAAGCCUGCUUCUCUCUUUCCCACUCUGAUUGUGUUCCCUCUCUAUGUCAAAUAUAUAAAUAAAAAAUCUUAAAAAAAAAAAGGUGGAAUACUCCUAUAUUCUAAUUUUAGAAGCUUGAUUAAAGGUUUUCUCUACUAACCUUAGUUUAUAGCGAAAGCAAAAAGGGUAGCUAGAAAAAGGCAGCUAGAAAACCACUAAUUGGAAGGUAUUAGAUUAACAUCUUACUAACACAAGAGUAAAAUCCUAAGCAUGUUGAACUGUGCCACACUAAAAAGCUGUACUCAGCAUAUUGAAAAUGUAUGCCCUACCUUAAAACCCUGCAUCAGAAAUCUUUAAAAAAUUCAGUCAGGCAGGGGCACCUGAGUGGCUCAGUGGAUUAAGCCUCUGCCUUCGGCUCAGGUCAUGAUCUAAGGGUCCUGGGAUCAAGCCCCACAUCGGGCUCUCUGCUCAGCAGGGAGCCAGUUUCCCCCCUCCUCCCCACCUGCCUCUCUGCCUACUUGUGAUCUGUCAAAUAAAUUAAAAAAAAAAAAAUUCAGUCAGGCAUAAUGGAUCAUUUAGAAUUGGAAAGUCAUGUUUUAAGUUUCCACAGUUCUGGCUAGAAUACCGAAUUCUGUUCAAAUGGGAGAAGAGUAGAAUAGAAAAAAAAUAAACUUGAGGUAAAGUACAAAAACACUAUUUAAAAUGCUAGAGUGGGUUUUGGUUAUAGAAAGAAUCCUAAACUGAGAAUAACACUGAGUACCAGGAAACUUCAAUGACCUAAGCUCUGCUUUUAUUAUUUUGGCACUGUUGUUCAGGUUUCACUGUGUCUGCUUACAGCUAAAUGUUGCCUUAGGAACAGGAUAUAGGAAGAGCUUCUAUACAGGGGCACCUGAGUGGCUCAAGACAUCCAACCCUUGGUUUCAGCUCAGGUCAUGAUCUCAUGGUUAAGGGAUCAAGCAGAGUCUGCUUUAAGAUUCUCUCCUCCUGUCUCUGCCCACACUUUCACUACCAGAUAAAUCUUUAAAAAAAAAAAAAAAAAAGAGGAGCUUCUUAUCCAGUGUUAUCAAUUAGUCCAAUUACUAUGGACAAAGUCCAUAGUAUUUAGUGUUUAGGUAUAAUCUGGAUUAUGUUAACACUUGCUGUUACUUCAUUCAGUACAGUUACAGUUAAUGGAAUUUCAAACAUAACGUUGAGAUUCUUUCUUUACAAUCUGAUAAUGGCAGGUCAAAAAAUGAAACUCAACCAGGCUGAGGCAAAAGCUCCAGGCAACAAGACAAAUUCAUUUAUCUACAAAAAACUACUCUCUGUAAUACUCUUUUUAAAAAAAAAAAAAAAUUACUUUUGACAGUCCAAGUAAAAGAGGUACAAGACAUUUGGAAAAUAUCUGUAAUUUCAUUCCAAGAAAAAUAUACCAAUCACUGAAACACAAAUUUAAGAAGCUAUUCACUAGUAUACUUAAUAGUGAGGCUUUAAGACUGGUAAUGUCAGUGAAAAAUAUUCUUGCCUUUGUUUUUCUGUCCUUAAGAUUGCCUACAACAUUGGGAAUGUCUGGGUUAGGUACACAAACUCCCAAUUCUGUACACCUUUAUCUACAAUCUUCAGAUUAUUAGAGGAAGAAAGAGGCAAGGCAAAUGGACUGGUAGAAAUCCUCUUACAAAGAUUAUAGCUUGCAUCAUAGCUUAUACCUUAUUUGAGUACUUGUAGUAGUAAUAUGGAAGGUACAGAUGAUUCUGAAUCCAAAGCAAUCCACUGAUAAAAUAAUAAACCCUUCUUACAAAAUAUAUUUCCUUAAAGAAUGUACAUCCCUCAUCGAGAAAUAAGGGAUUUAUUUUCUGGAUGAUUAGGCUCUUACUUGGAUUUGUAGAGUAUAUGAUCAUACUUAAAAAUGUAUUUAGGUUGAGCCAUAGGAAAUUGUCACUUUUCGUGGGUCAAAAAUGGUCCACUACUGGCAAUUUCCUAUGGCUUAACAUAACUGACUUAUUUUCAGUCAACAGUUGAGUGCAACUUCAAAUUACUACCACUUGGCAAAGUUUAACUAAUAUAGACUGUGACUGUUAUAUUGCAAAUCCUGAAAUAAAACCCCAAUAUUAUCAAAGGUUGUAACUACUAUCCGUUCAAGAACACUUCCUAAUAACUAAAAAUUUUAAAACGGAAUCACCAAAUUCACUAUACCAGAUAAUCUUUUAAAAGGUAUUGGGGAUCCAAACCGUAACAGCAGAGAAAGGAAACUGAGUGAGGCUUCACACCAAAUAUCUUUUGCCUUUUGGAAUUUUGUCAAACACACAAAUCCGGUUCAAAUUCAAGUUCCUUGAGGCCUUCUAGAAAAUCCAAGUGUAAAGUCUGCUUUACCCUCAUCCCAAUAGUCAUCCAACACAGGACUUACUUCAUUAUAGCUAAUUGUCCAUUCAUCUGUCCUUAUAAACUAAGCUCAUUGUAGGCAUAGCCUAUGAGAAAACUAGGUUGCUUUCAACUUCAAAAAAAGGCGUAUCUGUGGGAAGACAAAUGAAUUUCCCAAUCUAACUGCAACAUUUAGUUUAUAUGCCAACUCUACAGAGACCUUUCUCAAGUUACACAUUCAACUCACAGAAAACAAUACCUACAAACACUUGUGACUUAGCAUGAAGAUGAUGGAUCCCAGCAACAAAAGAAUGGCUAACAUGGAGACCUGGAAUACAAAAAAAUACCAGCUACUUUGCCUCUUCCUCACUAGUCAUCUGUUCUUAGAUUACUUACAUAUACCUGUACUUUUUUUUUUUUUUUUUUUUUUUUUUUUUUUGCAAAAUCAUUCAAGUGACCUCCCUCAGCCUGGUUCUAAGUAAUGCCUUUUAGGUUUUCAUGAACUCACCAGUUUGAUGUGCUGCUUCUCAACUCCACAUUAAAAUACACAACUACUUAAAAACUGGUAUACUCCUACUAUAAUUUUACCAACAGUGACUCAGCUAUCAACAAAACCCAUUUACACCAUUUUGCAAAAGUCUUAAGCCCACUUAAGGCUUUAAAAAGGUGAUUCCAGGGCACCUGGCUAUCUCAGUUGGGAGGGUAUGUAACUCAAUCUCAGGGUUGAGAGUGAGUCACACAUUGGGUAUAGACAUUAAAAAUAAAAUCUAUAAAAAUGAAUAAAAAGGUGAUGCCAAACAAAAAUACUAGGCUUCCCAAGGUUUCAGGAAAAGAUUUUUGCCCCCAUGUAAUCUUAAUAAACUUCUGUGUCUGACUUCACAUAAGUAUACUGAACAACGUGAGGGCUGCACAAGACCUUUAUUUUUUAUUUAUUUAUUUUUUUUGCCUGAGUGUCUUUUAACAUGUCCUAACUUACCAGUAAGUUUUCCCAUAGCAACAUCUUACUUAACUGGUGUAGUAGUAGCCAAAAAAGAUAUACGCCUCAAAAUAAUUGGAAGGCUAACUGAAUCAACAAUGGUUACUACCUUCAGGGAGUGGGCCUUUUCACUUCUAAAUCAAAGUAUAUUGUAUUUAUCCCACAAAAAGCCUGUUAUAGGGAGUGUCUGGUGCUCACAGUUACCCAUCCAACUGGACUUUGGCUCAAGACAUGACCUCAAAGUUAGGAGCUCAAAGCAUCAGGCUCUGCUGGCCCUGUGAAGCCUGCUUAAGAUUCUCAUUCUCUCUGCUCCUCCCGCUCUCUUGGGAAAAAAAGGCAAGCCUAUUAUGGUUCUACAAUACACAAGCCAUGAGGUUUAGUCACUUGUAAAUAAUGAAAUCUUGAUACUUCUUUCCUAGAAUAUGGUUACUCAAGAACUGCUUGCACGAUGCCCAUUUUCUGAGAUGGUUUUACAUUACUUUCUCAAUGAAACAAUCUUUAUGAAAGAAUAUUAGUAAAAUCUAUUCUACGUGAAAGAAAACAAGAAAUCAUUUUUUAUUUAUAUUGUAUUUAUCAAUUUGGGAAUUAAUUCUCAUACCUUAUAAUUUAUCUAUAACUCUGUUACUGAAGAGAAGAAAAAAAGGCUAACAAUUAUACUUCUAACCUUUAAUGAUUUAAAAAAGGUGACUGUGGGUUAAGUUUUUAAAAAUCAGAAUAAGAAUUAUUUGAUACUGCUACUCAAAAUUCAACGACUGCCCUAUUCAUACCACAUCUUACUUAUAAAUUCUGUUACUAGGGUUUUAGGAAAAAGCAUGUUAAUACCAUCACAUCUUAACUUCAGUGAUAAUAAAUUUGAGGUCGGGGUUAUAUGGACACUGCCCUGGCAAAUACAUUUUUAGCAGUACCUUGAAAUGUCUUUCAGUCAUUAUAAAUUAACUAAAAUCACUCAACAGUUUUAUGUAUAUAACAAACUAAGAUUAUGCACAUAAAAAACACUUUUCAAAUACCAAAUGACAAGACAGAAAGGACUGUCUUUCUUGCUCAGGGGUCUAUGUAUUUCUAUGGGGGGAAAAAAACCCUCCACCAUAAAUCCAAAUGUGGAUUUACUUUACCCUCCAGUAAAUCCACAUCUGAUAUGACCUCACAUAUAUCUGCAUAAUUAUUUUAUCAUUGUUACUCUGAACACACUUUAUGUGAAGUGUUUAUCUUCCUAAAAUUAAGCCAUGUGGCUAAAAUACAUACAAAAAAUACAAUCAUUAACAUGACACCCUUCAAAAUUACUUGAGAAUCAGAAACCAAGUUAAUGGUCUACUAUUUAAAAAUUGCUCACCAUAAUUAUUUUAUAAAAAUAAUUUUUAAUAAAUUAUCAAAGGCCAAAACUAAAUUCUGGAUUUACCCAAGUGCCUUCCAAAAGUUGCCUUUGAUAAGAUUAUAAAGACUUUACUAGUAUCAAAUGUAUGAUCAAUUCCCUAAGCCAAUCUAUUCUAACAGACUAAAUUUUAAGUGCUAAGAUUUCAAAGGAUGCAUUACAAAAUGAUUAACUAACCAAUUAAUAUUUUAAUACUAUUUAUGAGCAAGUGUAAAUGCUUUUUAAAAAGCAAUCAACUAUUCUAGACUAUUAAUAGCUCCAACUACUUUGCUACAUUUGGUAUAAAAAGUAGAAAGUUAAAAAUCAGCAAAUGGAAGAUCAAAGUUUAUUUACUACCUGCAUACAAAAACAUAUUGCACAUCAAACAACCAAAAUCAAAAAAAAAAAAAAAAAAAAAAAAAAAAAAAGAGAGAGAGAGAGUAAAGAAAAAGAGAAAAAAGGAAAAGAUUCUCUACUGAAGACUAACAUGUACUUUUAUACAGAAUAAACCUCCUGGAAAUUGAUCUUUUCAGUAGUUCAGGUUAUGUCUGAAAUGGACAUGACUAAUUCAGCUUAGUGUUUUAACUAAAGCUAUGUUUGAUUUUUAAAUACUGUACACUUUAAUAAAUAAACCAAACAAAGCCUCAAUGUAGAACAGUCACUGCCAAUAAUACCCAGUGUCCCUGCAGAUGAGAAUUUAACAAAUGUAUUCCAGUGGUCUGCAGAUUUUCCUCCACAUACAGCAUUUAAAAAACACAUUAAAACAGACCAGUUUCCAGACUAAACUAAUGGAGAAAUUACAAUUCAGUGCAAAAUAUUUUAGACUGCAUUUCAUUCUAGUUUUCCUCAGGUGAAGAAGUGGUUGCAUAUUAUUAAAAAUGUAACAAAAGCAGCUAAUGCUUUCAUAAAGAAUAUUACGUUAGGGAUCCCAUCCCUCCCACCUCCCCCAUCUCUGCCAUAUUUGGAAAACAAAAUAACAUUUCCUAUAGCCAGCAACUUUUUUUUUUAAUGUUACAUAUACUAUUCUCAAGGCACAUCUGAUGAUAUAUUUUAUAACACAGUAGGUGUCAAAGUAUGUUUAACAUAUGAUAUCUUCAGGAUCCCUCCCCUUUCUGAAUUCCAAAUGGAGGAACUGAAAGUGCGAUGUAAAGACUGGCGAUCCAUAUUCUAUCUUUGGCAAGCUUGUACAAGCACUAUUGUAAAAUGUAAUGUAAAAGAACUGUAAACUAGGAACUUCUUCAGUUUAUGAAACACCAUUCAGGACUGCUGCUUCUUGAGUGUUUUCUUCUUUUAAGGUAUUAAUCUUUUCUUCUCCUGGAGUACGCUGUAGCUUAGAAAUUUCAUCGCCAGAAGCACUAGUUGGGCCAUUUAUUGCCUUUUCUGAAGGACCAUGCUCUUCAAUCACAUCUUUUGCCUGCCAAAGGGAGACAACUUUUUCAACUUCUUUAUAAAUGAAAUCUACAGCUGAGGAGGAAAACAGCUAUAUAAACAUUAAUUAGCUAAUAAAUAAUUUUAGUUUCAUAACCAAAUUGGAUCAAAGAAUUAAAAUGUUAAAUUUUCAAAGCAUGUACCAAUGUACUCCACCUCUAUUGGUCUUUCAACUUCUAUCUCUAGUACCUGGCAGUGCUAAAUUACAGAAUAAUCUACUUGUUUACUGAAAACUUGAACCUAAUUUUAACCACUGGAAAGCUCACCAUAUAAAAGACAUAAAGUUAACACACCCUAAGCAAAUAAACACCUAUUUUACUCACCUUUUUUUUUUUGAAACUCAUUUACAUUUCAAAUCCCUUAAAGCAUUUAAAGAAUUGAAACUUAAAAGGUCUACAUCCAUCACUGAGAAGAGGUAUAUAUAGCCUACUGCUCCCCAAAUUAAGCCAACAGUCUCCAUGCCCAAUAUCUUUGGGUAGACUGAAUUUUACAAAUGCUAUUUGGAAUUUUAAAUGAAAAGUAUUCCAGGCUCAAGCAUGCAUAUCUUCAGUUACCUGGGGCCAAGAACAAAAUCAAGAGUAGUCUUUAAAGUAUUAUUUGUCCAAAAAAAAAUAAUAAUAAUAAAAUAUUAUUUGUCUAGUUGGGGAAACAAGUGAUCGAUCACACAGUAAGUUAAAAAGUAAAAAUAAAGCUAAACCAUACCAAAACAAAACAAAACAAAAAAACCCAAAAAGCAAAAACAACAAAAACCUACAGGUUAAAUUCUCCUUACCAUUUCUUUCUUGUUUUUAGCCAAAGUUUCCCUUGGGAGGUUUCUUUGUCUGCUCUGAGACUCAGCUCUAGAAAUAUAAUCUGCAACUGUGACUGUUGAAGAUGAGAAAAAAAUUACAGGUGUUGAAAAAUAUUUCUAAAGUUUAUUUAUGGAUAAAGAGUAAUUUUACUUUUAAGAUAAACUGAUGGUGGGUAACCCAAUUUCAAAAUUUUAAGCUGGGUACCACCUCCAACCAAAAACAAAACUUGAAAAAUAUGUCUGUGAUUUAGUGCUGACAAUAGAAAAUUCCAAGCUGGAGAUCCAAGGAAGCCUAGAUUUAAGUCUAUUUUCACAGAAAUCCAGCCAUUGCUUCUGACUCUACAGUUGUGGGAUAAAGUUUGAUAAGAAAUCCACAACCAGGAAUAGGAAAUGCAGCAUUUUAAGCCCAGUGUUUGCAAUUCUCAGUGGGGAAAAAAAAAUGGGACAUAUCUGGUGCAAAUCAUGGUGUGCUAUAUAUAUACUUCGAUUUGAAAAUUUCAUCAGAUCUGAUUUACUCAAAUAUAGUGGUUGUUUUUGUUUUUGUUUUUUGUUUUAAAGGCUAAGUAAGAUAUCCAAGUGUGGAAUUUCAUGGUUCCUUUCUCACAUUCCACAGUAGAAACCAUUCUGAAUGCUCUAAAAUAAAAAACUACAAGCCAACUGAAGAUGGCAGAACACCACCCUAAAAACGUGGACAAUGAUCCUGGUGGGAAAAGGGCCACCAUUAAUUCAGUAACCACCUCUUCCCUGCUUUGACAAUCUUUCAAGGGACUGAUUGACGUGUUAUGUGUGUUUGCAAGGACAUGGAUGGCAAUAGUGAGACUAAGCAAGCGAACACUCUUCUGUCAACCCAAGUGCAACAUCUCUGUUCUACAGGUACUCUGGCCUCACUUUAUACCUCAAUCCUUUCUCUUUAGGACUUACAAUUUAGAAUUCAUAAUUUGGAGAAAUAUCAAAAUAAUCGCUCUCUUUCAAAGAAUUAUAUUCUACCAGAGACUGGGGAGGAAAAUCUCUCAUUAUAUGAAAUAUAGUUUAUUUUAAUUUAUGGGAUGAGAGCAAGUUAAUGUAAAGAAUGAAAACUCAAGUAAAUUUUAAAGUAUUUAUUAAAAGUCACUAGGGGAGAAAUGGUCCAUCAGGUUCAAAUUAUAUGAAAAUAAGUCAUUUUGAUAAAGAAGCUGGAUGGUAUUUACAAUUCAUUUUUUGUGACCACGAAUUAACAUACUACUAUUUAUAAGAUCCAAAAUUUUCUGAGGCUACUAAAUGAAUCUUAAAUUUCAAAGAAACUACUUAAUUCAGAAUACAAAUCAUUUAUAAGAAAUAGCACCAAAGAUGUAUCCUGUCUAAAACUGCCUCUUUUCUUCCAAAUUGUAAUUUAGAGCUUUAAAAUAAAAAUCUUCACAUAAAUCCACUGUUAAUUUACAAAUACAUUUAGUAAUAGUUUCCAAACCUAGGAAGAGGAAUACUAUCAAAUCCAUUUCAUUAUUAUGUCUAUAUACAUAGUAGCAAAACCAUCCUAGAAAUGAUUUCUAGUUUGGGGAGCACCUUAAUGAAUUAAUUCUGUCUCUAGACUUUAGCCCUCAGUGACACCUGAAGAACUCAGCUACUUGGAAACCAUGCUGCACAAAUUUAUUGCUAAAUUUGAGUAUGUGACAAUUCUUAGAACCCUUCAUCCACUAUGUACACGCACAGCAUAAUAUACUUUGAUAUGGUUAUCAACUAAAUUAAAAGGCACUUAGCUGGCAAGGUAAAAAAUUACAGCACCCCUCCGCCAUAAAGGGAGGUACAACCAAAAACAAACUAAGGUGACUCAAAGCCUGUUUACAGCCAGUCCUUGUAAUAACAAGCCACUUGAAAGGACAUUAAAGUUUAAUAUAAUACAAUUCCUAGGAAAAAAAAAUACAGCAAUUUGUGCAGCAAAAUUUGGGACUGUUGAAUUUCCUAAGGGGCCCAAGUAAAUCAAUUGGACACAAGUGUAUAUAGUCACUUUCUAAGUAUAAUAAGGAAUAUUCACUGCUUAAUUUACACUAAAGACAACAAAAAAUUUUGAGCAAAUGAGAACAAAUGAAAUGAUUGUGUAUAUAAGGGAAUGUUCAUAUUUUUAGAUGAGGCUACUUUUCUAGAAGUACUGACAGGAGCAAGGAGAAAAUGAUGUGCCUGUUCCAUCAAUGCUAUCUUAGGGGGCUUUUAGGGGAAGGACAGGGAAGGCAGGCAAGGAAGACAAGGAUUUCUGAACAGGAGAAGCAGCAAUUCCAAGAACAGAGUAAAACAGGAAUAAAUAUAAGUAUGGAACAAAUCAUCAAAUUACUGGAUACUCCAAAUUACUCAAGUUUCACUUAAUAUCACACAGAAAUCUCUCUGCCUCUUCUUUAACACCACAAUGUUUUUUAUGUCCAUUGACUUGGUUAUAAACCACCAUCCACCUAGUUAACAAAAUUAUGUUGUUCUUUACCCUAUGUUAAGCCCAAAACAAUAGUCUGAAUUUUCUUAUUUAUAAAGUACAGCAGUAUUCACUGCCAUGCCAACUUUACUUUAAACAGUAUAAAUAUGACCUCUUGAUCCAAAGAUAUUUCUAACACUAUAGAGAGAGGGAAGAGAAGGGAAAACAGUAAGAAACAUUUUCUGGAAACUUUCUAUUUUUGACAAUAUUUAAUUCCUUUUAAAUUUACAACUAUCUUUAAAACAUGAAAUUUUCUUCAAGAAUGGGAACACCUUUAAACCCGUUUUCCCAAAUGUCUCUAACAACCGCUAAACUUAAAAUAUUAAAGAUACUUGAAUUUACAUUCUUUAUUUGGGGAAAACACAUUCAAGAAUUUGCUUUGGAAAGAAUGCAGAAAUUGAUUAGUUUAAAAGGGGUUUAUUUUUGGUGCACACAAUUUCUUCAUUGUGAAUAUACACGUGAUUCUCUGUAUACAGGAAAUGGAAUAAUGUUCAAAAUAAGAUAAACACAGCAAACAAAGUUUCUUUGAAGUUACGAAAAAUUAUGACUACUUAAACAUUCUACAACUAAUAAAUAAGUACUAUUAAUUUGAAUAGUUAGUAGGUGUAAGGGAAAAGGCAUCACACUACAAUAAACAAACAAAACAUAACAUGCAUUCCUCUUAUUAAAAAAAGACACUCAUUUAUACUUUUUUUUUAAACUGUGGGUAUUACAAUGCCCACAAAAAUGAGGUGCUGAAUUCAGAUAUAGUAAGCGGCACCAUGCAAAAGUUGCCCCGUUUUGCCAAUCAACCUCAAUCACAGUCUACAACAAAGUCCCUGGGAUGGCAGGCCCAAACUCAAGUAUGCAGAAUCUGCCAAGUGGACAAAAUAAUGGUCUUCUCAACAGUAUUUCCAUGU